AUUGAACGCUGGCGGCAGGCCUAACACAUGCAAGUCGAGCGGAUGAAGGGAGCUUGCGCCUGGAUUCAGCGGCGGACGGGUGAGUAAUGCCUAGGAAUCUGCCUGGUAGUGGGGGAUAACGUCCGGAAACGGGCGCUAAUACCGCAUACGUCCUGAGGGAGAAAGUGGGGGAUCUUCGGACCUCACGCUAUCAGAUGAGCCUAGGUCGGAUUAGCUAGUUGGUGGGGUAAAGGCCUACCAAGGCGACGAUCCGUAACUGGUCUGAGAGGAUGAUCAGUCACACUGGAACUGAGACACGGUCCAGACUCCUACGGGAGGCAGCAGUGGGGAAUGUUGGACAAUGGGCGAAAGCCUGGUCCAGCCAUGCCGCGUGUGUGAAGAAGGUCUUCGGAUUGUAAAGCACUUUAAGUUGGGAGGAAGGGCAGUAAGUUAAUACCUUGCUGUUUUGACGUUACCAACAGAAUAAGCACCGGCUAACUUCGUG
rnacentral:rRNA from 1 species